AGCGAACGCUGGCGGCAGGCCUAACACAUGCAAGUCGAGCGCCCAGCAAUGGGAGCGGCAGACGGGAUAGUAACACGUGGGAACGUACCUUUCAGUUCGGAACAACCCAGGGAAACUUGGGCUAAUACCGAAUACGUCCGUAAGGAGAAAGAUUUAUCGCUGAAAGAUCGGCCCGCGUCUGAUUAGCUAGUUGGUGAGGUAAUGGCUCACCAAGGCGACGAUCAGUAGCNGGUCUGAGAGGAUGAUCAGCAUCACUGGGACUGAGACACGGCCCAGACUCCUACGGGAGGCAGCAGUGGGGAAUAUUGGACAAUGGGCGCAAGCCUGAUCCAGCCAUGCCGCGUGAAGGAUGAAGCGCUCUGCGUCGUAAACUUCUUUACUCGAGAAAAAUUGUUGGGUUUCUACCUGACUUGAUUGUACCGAGAGAAUAAGGACCGGCUAAC
rnacentral:rRNA from 1 species